rnacentral:rRNA from 1 species
AGUGAACGCUGGCGGUAGGCCUAACACAUGCAAGUCGAACGGCAGCACAGUAAGAGCUUGCUCUUACGGGUGGCGAGUGGCGGACGGGUGAGGAAUACAUCGGAAUCUACUUUUUCGUGGGGGAUAACGUAGGGAAACUUACGCUAAUACCGCAUACGACCUACGGGUGAAAGCAGGGGAUCUUCGGACCUUGCGCGAUUGAAUGAGCCGAUGUCGGAUUAGCUAGUUGGCGGGGUAAAGGCCCACCAAGGCGACGAUCCGUAGCUGGUCUGAGAGGAUGAACCGGCCAACUGGAACUGAGAACCGGUCCAGACUCCUACGGGAGGCAGCAGUGGGGAAUAUUGGACAAUGGGCGCAAGCCUGAUCCAGCCAUACCGCGUGGGUGAAGAAGGCCUUCGGGUUGUAAAGCCCUUUUGUUGGGAAAGAAAAGCAGCAGGUUAAUACCCCGCUGUUCUGACGGUACCCAAAGAAUAAGCACCGGCUAACUUCGUG